GGGGCCAGUGCACUUCCUAAGUCCCCUGUGGUGUCCGAGCACGUGGCUUAGGGACAGGCUGGCUGCGGAGUGUUAGCUGCAGGGCUGACCGUGGCUCCGUGUCCUCCGUGCGUUGGUGGGCAACAGGCUCCCUCCCCCAGCCGGGUUCAUGGCAAGAGGAGCAGGUACCAGAAUGUGUUUCCUUGCAGGGGGCAGCCUCGUGGUUGCAGGACUGCAAAGGGCCUGGCCAUAGGGAGCACAUCACUGCCUUUAUGCAUCGCCAUAUCCUGCCAAUCACACACCUUAAGCUGCUUGUCCACCGUACCGAGAGCAGAAUUAGUCUGUCAGAGUGAGAAACCAGACACCAGAGGAAAGCUCCUAACUCUAGAUGUCAAAAGCGGCUGCUUUUUUACAUAUCGAUUGUUAACUUGAACAGUUUGCUGGUGGAGCUGUAGACAUUUCCUCCUGUGACAGCAAUUUGUUGAUUUCACUCCUUUGGCUUCAGCUGGAGUUUCUGUAAGUAAAACCAAAGUUGAUAUUCAGUAA